AAGGUGAGCAUAGUAGCAAAAAUAAAUCAUCUUUGUUUUCUCUGAAUUGUGUGCAAGAUUAGUUAUGCAAAGUGCUAAUUUUGUUUAAAAUUUAUUAGGCCCUUUUAUUAAUUUUAAUAAUGAAAAUAUGGCAGAUGAGCACAAAAUUUUCGGAUUUGAUGGCUUUUGGUGGGCCAGCACCUGAAAGAAUCAAUGGAAGGUUGGCUAUGAUUGGUUUUGUAGCAGCAAUGGGGGUGGAAAUAGCAAAAGGACAGGGUUUGUUUGAUCAAAUAUCUGGUGGUGGAAUUCCAUGGUUCUUGGGGACAAGUGUGUUGUUGUCACUUGCUUCUUUGAUUCCAUUUUUCCAAGGUGUUAGUGUUGAGUCCAAGUCAAAAGGUGUUAUGUCUUCAGAUGCAGAACUAUGGAAUGGAAGAAUUGCUAUGUUGGGUUUGAUUGCUUUGGCCUUUACAGAGUAUGUUAAGGGUACCUCCCUUGUGUAAUAGAUUUCUGUUCUAUAGGGAAUGAAUUAAAAUCUGUAGAUUUUUGUUAGAAACCAAUAUAUGGAACUGUGUAUAUUGUCAUAUAGUUUCUUCUUUGAGAUUUUUUUAAUUAUCCUUUUUUCAAGUGAAUGUAAUAGUUCUCUUAUACUUGAAAAGAAAUCUUCUAAUAUCUUCCACUUGAAAUUUCUACUUUUGCCUAUGAUUAUUCUCUUAUUGUUAAGGGUUUUUCUACAAAAUAAUUGUGUUCAAAACUAUUAGGGAGAUUUGAGUGUAUAUUUGGGCAUCACAAGAAUAUUAUUACUGAAGUCAUGCGCGGAGAAUCGAUCUAAUCCAAAAAUAUUUCUACAAUGGUAUUCAACAAUGAUAUUUGAGUCACUCUUUCUAGUUUUUUUUUUUUAAAUGGAAAAUGUUAGGAAUUAGUUGUUAAUUUAAUAUUUAUCGCUCAUUUGGGUUUGAAUCCCGGACUCCAACUCCUUAUUCUUUAAUUAAAAUUAGUUGAACUGCUCAACCGUUAUUCUUUUGCUACGAACACUUCUGAAAGAUCCGCGGAAGAAAUCUCAGAAAUACUCAUGUUUUUCUAAGUUUAUUAUUUAUUUAUAGCGAUCCACCUCUCUUUCUUGAAAACUGAUUUACAUACUACAAUCAUUGUUCUAAUGUAAGGGUAAUAGUUUUUCAUCCAAUGCAUUUUUUUUCAGACUAUUUUUAAUAGGUAUUUAGUUUAAUUUAAUUUUAAUAUUUUAUGGACAAAUUGAAAUAAUUUUUGUAUCUUGGGAUAAAUAAAAAUAAUUUCUAGAGUCUUUGACUCUUUUUUAUAAGUUUUGUGAGCCAAUACAACUCAAAGUAGGCAAUUUUGCCUUAACUCUUAUGGCAACGAAAUGGGAAUAAGAAAUUUUAUGAAUGUAAAUGAUAAAAUUAAGGACAUUCAGAUGAAAGAAAUUUGAUGUGAAAUUUUAAUUGUUCUAAGUCAGUCAGUCAUGUAGUCUAAAUUAAUUAAGAUUGAACACCUAAAUAUAAUUAAGGCAAGAUUACAUUAGGGGUCUAUUAUCUUAUUUAUUUGUAACACUUUGGUCCUUUAUAUUUAUUUUUUCCCACUCAGGUCCUUUAUCUCUCUUAAAAGCACAUAUACAUCUUUUUUCUCAUUUUUUAUUAAAAAAUACAUAAUUUUAUUUUUAAAAAUAUAUUUUUAUUAAAAAUGAAAAAAAUUCAGAAAUAUGAUGAAGACGUUCAUCAUCUUCUUUAAAUAAAAUAAAAAUUCUACUAAAAUAUAUCUCAAAAUAUCGUGAAUUAAUGUUAUAUUCACCUCAAAUCUUCUUUUAAACACAAAAAUAAAAACCUUAAUUUCACAAAUGUUGCAAGGCGGAUGGUGGAGGCUUUGUCACUGGCAGAAGGGUUAGGCUUUACGAAAGUUAAGAUUGUUCUGGAAACAACAAAAUUGAUGUGCAAAGCUGCUCUCAAUUUUGGGGUUAUUUUUAUGCCAAGUUUGAAUAUUGAGUUAGAAAAUAAUAAUAAUAAUAAUAAUAACAUUUGAUUGGUUGAUAUCAUGAGAGGAUAAACACCCCCUAAACAAGAGAGGGUAAUCUAGAAAAAACCUCUUCUAAUUAUACAAUAUUUUCUUAUAAUUUUAUAAGAAUUCUCUAAAUGUGCAUAUAAACGUGCACAUUAGUUUAAUCUAAGUGGAUGACUAAUUUCUCCCUAAAAAAAAGAAAAAUAUCAUUAAUUUCAGAAUAAUUGGAACUUUGGUCAGCAGAGUAUAUAUGUAGCUUUGAUCAUCAAUAUACCAAACACAAUCAUAUUACACAUUCUCCUUUUAUGAUAAUAUUCAAGUCAUUAGGAUUUAAGAGUGCAAGUUGAGGAAGGAAUCAUACAAUCAACUCUUAGAAGUAAGACAUGCUAUCUUAAUUGGGAAAAAAAAAGGUUCGGUAAAUUCUACAUAUUGUCCCAACUAAUGUAUUGUAUCAACAACUAGUGUCCCAACCAACAUGAUUUUGAAAGAAAACAUCUAGUUGGAGCAAAAAAAAAAAAAAAAAGUCUUAAACUUAUAGAGUUUUAGUUUCUUAGGAAACUUAGGAUCAUUAAGAACCACCGAUUAUCUUAUCUACAUUGCAAUAGAAUUUUCUAGGCAAUACGAAAAUAGUAAGCAGUAAAAACAACAAUUGAGGUUUUACACAUUCCAAGUGGACAACCACUCUUAUAAGCUCAAAUUCUCAGCCUAGCACUAGAUCCACGUCUCAUGCUUUUACCAUCUAUGGACAAAUGAACCCACGUGAACCAAUUAACUUUAAGACCCAGUUACACACUACGUGGAACCAUAAUAUCCCUCACAAUGCUUUCCAUUUUAUUCUAUAUAAACAACCACCUUAAAUGCUACACAUAUCAACCAUAAUCAUCUAAGCUUUAGUCAAAGAGUUCAUUAAGAUUCACUAAGUAAUCCUAUCUUCAAAAAUACUUAGACUCAUCUUGAGUUUUGCAUUGUAACAUUAAGAAACCUAUCAAUGGCUGUAUCAUCUUAUCAAUCUAUCAUGUCAAGCUCCAUGACCAGCAGGCCUAGAGUUACCCGACUUAACAACAUCCCUUCUGUGUAUAUGCCUAGCUUCAGAAGAAAUGCUAACCUCAAAGUUCGGUCCAUGGCUGAGGUAAUUAAGGUUUAUAUAUCAAACAAAUAUUAAGGUCAUGUAUGUAGUGUUUGUUUAUGCAUAUUUAAUUUGUAUACAUGGAAAAGCAAACAUAAGAAACAUGCUUAUGAUUUAUAUUCAUAAAAUAUGUACAUGAAUUAACGUUGAUUUUGUAAAUUCCGGAGAAUCCAUAAUGCUUAUGAUUUAUAUUUAUCUCACCUUAAUUGAUAACAAUAUCUCUUUACAUUAUUCAGGAAGCGCAGAAAGAGCAAUCAAAGGUGACACCACAGCCUGCCUCUACUACUCGUUCACCAAAGGUGAGCAUACAGCAUAGUAAUAAAAAAAAUUACAACUUUGUUUUUUUUCUAAAUUCUGUCCAAGAAGACUAGUUAUGGAAAGUAUUGAUUUUGGUCAAAAUUAUGAGAUCUUUUUGAUGAAUAAUUAAUGAUGAUUAUAUAAUGGCAGAUAAGCACAAAGUUUUCGGAUUUGAUGGCUUUUGGUGGGGCAGCACCUGAAAGAAUCAAUGGAAGGUUGGCUAUGAUUGGUUUUGUAUCUGCAAUGGGGGUGGAAUUAGCAAAAGGGCAGGGUUUGUUCGAUCAAAUAUC
rnacentral:lncRNA from 1 species